rnacentral:rRNA from 1 species
UACGGGAGGCAGCAGUGGGAAUAUUGCACAAUGGGCGAAAGCCUGAUGCAGCUAUGCCGCGUGUAUGAAGAAGGCCUUAGGGUUGUAAAGUACUUUCAUCGGGGAGGAAAAAACAAAACUAAUAAUUUUAUUUCUUGACGUUACCCGAAAAAGAAGCACCGGCUAACUCCGUGCCAGCAGCCGCGGUAAUACGGAGGGUGCUAGCGUUAAUCAGAAUUACUGGGCGUAAAGAGCACGUAGGUGGUUUUUUUAAGUCAGAUGUGAAAUCCCUGGGCUUAACCUAGGAACUGCAUUUUGAAACUGAAAUACUAGAGUAUCGUAGAGGGAGGUAGAAUUCUAGGUGUAGCGGUGAAAUGCGUAGAUAUCUGGAGGAAUACCUGUGGCGAAAGCGGCCUCUUAAACGAAUACUGACACUGAGGUGCGAAAGCGUGGGGAGCAAACAGGGAUUAGAUACC